UAAUAAUUUAAACAAAAUAUUGAUCUUGUAAAUCAAAAUUAGGGGAACCUUUAGAACA
rnacentral:tRNA from 1 species